AGUCAGGAUAGGAUUGAGAUGUUUCUUUUUUACUUAUUUUAUGUUGACUAAUAUUAUUGCAUUUGCAUUGCAAUAUGCAUUUAUUUUAUUUUUCUCUAUUGCAUGUAACUACUGAAAUUUUCACACACUAAAAAUGCAAGUAAUAAAUAUUAGGAAAAAAAUAAUGGCAGAAACUUCUGACAGCUUAUUUCUGGGGUUUCCUCUCGGGCCUUAUCUGUGUUAUGUUCCAGGUGAUCUUCAAGAAGAGCUGAUUUACUUGAAAGCAAAGGUGUUUCCUCACCUAGACACACUUUGCCAGGCGAAGGGAACGUGUUUCAGACCUGUGGACUUGCAGAGAAGCAAACAAGAAAGAAGAGAUUAUGAAAAUAAUCAUAAGCUUGACCUUUUUGACCAAAAGUUGAAAAUCAGUUUGGAUCUCAUUGACCGCUCGUCUUUUUUCAUUUGUCUUCUUGGACACAGCUACGGACAGUGUCUGCCGGCUGAAAAUGGUUCUCGGUCUGAUAUUGGACCAUGUUCUUUGUCUGAGGUGGCUAGGAACUUGCACGUUGCUGCAGAGGCUGGUUACCCUUGGGUUAUGGAGGAUGAGUAUCGCACCAGUAGCCUUACAGAGCUGGAGAUCACCAAGGCAGCCUUCAUUGACAACAACAGAAGCUGCUUCUUUUAUUUUAAAGACUGCACCCCUCAGGACACACAGGACGACAGAAGUAGUGAAACGUGCAAUUUCUUGAACAUGCUGUCCACUCAAAGUCAAAGGGAGAGACAGAGAAUGAGAAAUCUAAAAAAAAAGAUCAUAAAUCAUUGUCUUCCUGUCAGAUUCUUCAGAAACCUUUAUGAACUUGAGGAGAUGAUAAAGGUGGACUGGGAGGGAAUAUGUAAAUUUCACGAGGAUCCAAAACAUCCCAUCUCAGGAUGGCAGGAUUCAUUCGAUCUAAAAUACCAUGCGAUGUAUGCGCGUACAUUGUGUGACUGGUUUGUGCCCUCGGCACCCACCACAGAAAUACUGAACACACUAAACAAAUUUCUGCGUCCUGUAACCCAUAAUGCAAAAUCUGAGAUGCACUCAAAAAAUCCAGGAGCUCAUUUUACAUGUGAUCUUGACCAGAACGACUCAGAGAAAUCUAUUUUACUAGUGUGCGGUGAAAGGGGUUGUGGGAAGUCCACUCUGGCAGCAUGGUGGCUGCAGUCCUUCUGCAGACAAAAUCCUGAUGUUCCAGUCAUCUCUCACUUCUGUGGGACCAGCACAUCCAGCACUGAUGUCAGGUCUAUGCUCAGACAGUGUACUGCGCAACUUCGAAGAGCACAUUACAGUGAUUUUCCAGAUUGGGAUGAUAGUUUGGAGGACGUGAUUGAGUUUAUACAUCUCCAUCGGACAGUCCAGGCAUUUACUGCAGCAGCCAGUCUUGGGCCUUGUAUUCUUCUUAUAGAUGCUAUUGACCUUCUGACAGAAACAAUAGCAAUAUCAAAGCAAGAGGUGAAGGAACUGCAAUGGCUGCCAGAUGAUCUCCCUCGCUAUUGUAAAAUGAUCAUCACAACAACGUUUACUGACCUCACUUACAAAAGUCUGACCAGCAGGACCGAUGUCCAGAUUCUCAUCUGUCCCCAUCUCUCAGAUUCAAGUGUUCUGGGCAGCAUUAUAUGCAAACAUUUGUCUUUGCCUUACAAGGAGCUGCCAGCAAGUGUUUUGCAAAGAGUUGGACGUAAGAAGCAGUGCCACAUUCCGGCCUUCUUAGCGCUCAUUGGCACAGAGUUACGGACAUGUGGAGUGCUGAGGGAGAAAGAGGAAGAGAUGGAGCUGUUGAAGGAGUAUAUAGAGGCUGAUUCAGUUCCAGAGCUCUGGGUGAAGGUCAUUCAUCGCUGGGUACAAGAUUACAGCAGAACUGCUCCAACAGAAGAUAUUACUGAGGCUCAAAAUUGCUCUGCAUCACUCAGGGAUGAUCUCUCAGGCUGGGUUUGGGACACGCUCUGUCUUAUUCAUGUGUCUCGUGCUGGGCUGACUGAGCCUCAGGUUUUGGCUUUGCUGGAAGAUUUAGGCUACUGUGGUAAUCUGCAAAUCCAGGUUUUGGAAUGGGCCCGACUGCGCUCUACAUUUUGGCCUUGGGUUCAAGAGAAAGCCAAUGGGCUUCUGAGCAUCACACAUCAAUCACUCAGCCAGGCUAUUAACCUGCUGUUGCAUGGUAUGGAUGGUCAGAAUUUCUACCAACGGAUGCUUGCUAAGUUUUUUCAGAAGUCCAGUUUAGAGCUUUGUAGCUGGGCAAGAAAGAUGGAAGAGAUUCCUUGGCAUCUCAAGCAAACUGGUUCAUUCAACGAGUUGCAUGAUUUCCUCAGUGAUCUGUUUACCCUGGAGUUUUUGUCAAGCAGCCUGAAGCGAUUCCCACAGAUGACAAUUGAUGUUAUACAUUAUUGGACACUACUAAGGCAGAGAGGAUUUGACCCUGUGACUUCAUUCCAGAAUCUGAUGGCUAAGACUUGGGAGCAUCUUGAUGAGGUUCACCCUCCAGAUCACAGCAGUUUGUGGAGACUGUCAUUGUUCUGUUCUAAAGUUCUGCUCUGUUUGGGUGAAAUGCAACAAGCUCGAGAGCUGCUACUGCAAGCAGAUCGAAUUUUCCCAAAGGGCGUAGAGCUGGAUAGUGACAGUAUGAGGUUACUACUCAAGGUGCAACAUAUGCUGGCAGAGCUUUACGUCCAAAUGCAUCUGCCAAAAGACACAGAGAUGUACUGCCACAAGGGACUUGAGACGGCCCGGUCUCUUACAGUAGCCCACCUUGACAGCACAGAGGUCAAACUGAUAGUUGGACAGCUGCUUUGUUGUCUGUGUGUGGCAUUGCUGGAGGAUGGACGGCUUUAUGCAGUACCAGGGCUUUUCAAAGAGAUCAGCUCGGAUAGAUGCAUCUUUGGCCAUCCUUGUGCUGACGGCACAGCAAUGCUACUGAAGGCCAUUCACAAGUUGAGUCUUUGUGAGCCCCAGACUGCUGAGAAAUGCUUUCAAGCUGCACUGGCCAGCCGGAGGCGCUGGUACGGCUAUGAUCAUCCUCUGGUAGCAGAAGUGGAGGAGCAGCUUGCAGAUCUCUGGGCCAGAAUUCAAACCAACACAGAAUGGACACAGAGGAAGAUGGUUGAACUGUACCGGCAUGUUAUAAGCACUAAAGAGACUGAGGCUCAGAUGAUGCAACUUCCCACCAUGCAACACAACCUUGCUGUCAUUCUUACAAAGCUUGGUAAGGUGUUGUUGCGUAGCUGCAGUAGAGUUGAGAGGAGAGAGGGGCUGGAUCUGCUUCAGAGAGCUGCAGACAUAAGGAUUCACCUCCUGGGCCCUGAGCACCCACUGACACGAGACCUGGAGCUGGUUUCAAACCCUGAUAUUGUAGGACAGAGGAAGCAUGUUCUAGAGGUCAUCAGGACCACCUCAAACAAUAACCUGUCACUAGGUAGGUCAUCUACAACUGCUUACAAGGAAUCACACAGUGGGCUGCAAAAACCAUCCUCACAGUCACAAAUAACAUGAGCAACUACCAAAGUCCCUAGGAGCUUCUCUACACAAAGAGCAUCAUGUUGUAACCAGGAUGAAACCCCCAAAAGACCAUGGAUGGCUUUCCAGGUCUGCGUAUUUGGACCACAGAGUGACAUUAGGACUCUAUUGCAAACAGGAAACACUGGUAGGUUUGACCGACGACGGCCCCUUACCAGAUCAACCCGGGGUCUUUCUCAGGAAGGUGCAUCAUGCAGGAGGAAGCUUUGAAAGCACUGAACCAAUAAAAAAAGAAGUGUGUCAUAUGGUCAGAGUAGCUAUUCUAUUCUAUUCUAUUCUAUUCUAUUCCAUUCUAUUCCAUUCUACUCUAUUCUAUUACUUCUUACCUUUGUGUUGCUCACUGAACAUUACAAAUUUCUGUAAAGCUGCUUUGAAAAAGUAGAUUUAUAGUGAACAAAUAUCUAUUUUAGAAAUGUAUCAUUUGUUUGCAUAAAUAAAUGUUUACUACGUAAUUAUUAUAGUAUACAUUCACAAGACAUAAAACAAAAAUACAAAAGCCUGUGAAAGCAGAAAUAAACUGAAUGCUGAAAUACUGUACAUGUAUAUAUAAUCAUAUUCCUACUUAGUCUAUAAUAUUUUAUUUAAUACAGUGUUGGUCAUCAUUAAUCUAUCUUUAUCUUCGGAGCAUGAGGGUGGCUGGUUUUUUAAGACUUUUAUUUUGAAAAGAACUGGGACUGGGCUCCUAAGAGGAUUUCUGAAUGUUACGAGCGCCAGGAUUUACAUCUGUGCAAGUAUUAUGUUUUACGGGAAAUGCAGAGCCACAAGUUGGUCCCCAAGUUUAAACGGCUGCACAGUAUCGAUGAGAACAGCCACAGGAUGCUGGAGGAGCGUGGUCUCACUGGUGACAUCAUCCAUGACCUGACCUACAUCUACCAGAACGUUUAUCGCCUCAACACACAAACUAUAAGCAGUGUCCAGGCUCGAGAUCGGUGGAUUUUGUGUCCAUGACCAGGAACCAUGACCAUGUCUCAUCCAUCUCUGAACCCACCCACUACAUCCUGACAACAGAGUGGAUUUGGUACUACUGUACAAAGGAGAUCAUGAGAACUGGAUAGAGUACGUUCAACAGAUAUGCACCAAGCACAACACAUAGAGGAGGGUGCGCAGGCGACCACGCUUUGUGUCUAUCAAUGAGGUGGAAGCUAAAGCUGCCCAGUGAUGGACCAAACACACAAACACAUUCAGAUUAUCAGUUACUGCUUUAGUUUUGUGUCACUUCUCAAUUAAUACUUUGAGAAGAUAUAUCCUCAAUUUAUCCUCAGUACACACACAAAUAUAUAUAUACAAUGCUGCUUGAAAGUUUGUGAACCCUUUAGAAUUUUCUAUAUUUCUGCUUAAAUAUUACCCAUAAAAUCAUCAGAUUUUCACAAGAGUCCUGAAAGCAGACAAAUAGAACCCAAUCAAACAACUGAGACUAUUUAUUCAGAAGAAUGAUCCGAUAUUACAUAUCUGUGAGUGGCAAAGUAUCUGAAUCUCUAGGAUCAGCUGUUAAUUUGAAGGUGAAAUUUGGCUCCAUCUGUUCAGAGGUGUUUUUAAUCAGUAUGUGUCAAAUGUCAGUGCAUUCCUUAUUUUGUUUGAAAAACAGGGAUCUAUCAAAGUUUGAUCAUGUUUGUGGAAGUGUAUCAUAAAUUUUUUCAAAAUAAUUUAAAAUCAAAAUAGACCUGUCUUUGCC